rnacentral:ncRNA from 1 species
AGCGUCAAGCAAUAUCAUUUUACAUAAGUGCGAUAACUUCAACAAUCGGGACGACUUUAACCCAUAAUAACAUUUCCCGAUUAGAAUUGACCUGAUAGAUAUAUUUCUAUAUCAAGUCUUCUAGAAUCUGAAUUUCUCCUUUUGACUAUACGUGUAUUUACCCAUGAAUGCGCAAAAUUUAUUCCCGGACCUGAGGAUAGACUCAAUUGCGUAUAACUCAAAUAACUUUUCAAUGAAUAACCCACUUUGAUUAAAAUAACUUAGUCGAUUUUAUCUAUCAGAUAAUAACAUUUUAGAAUAAUUCCUUCUUUUUGUUGUCAAGACAACCUAGACAUACAAUUUAUCACAAUUCCCUCAGAAUACUAAUCAAUGAUCCUUAAAAAUUGCAUUAACUUAAACGAAACAUAACAUCCCGUUUUAACUUGUUGACAUUAAUCAAGAUUACCUCAGGAAUGAAAACCAAUAUACAAGUUUGAGCUCAAUCUUCCACCGUCUGCUCUUUUGCCGAUGUCAACCCUUUCACGAAAGCUAGAAAGGGAUUAUAUAUAAUAAAGAUAUUUUAGUUAUUAACAUCGAAGCUUUGAACUAACGAAUCGAUCCAAGAACAGGGAUUAUUAGUAAAAAUAGAAUUUUCGAGAGAUAUAGAAAGAUUAUCUCUGUUGUACACUUUUCUUUAUUUCCCUGGGAUUGUAGUUCAAUUGGUCAGAGCCCCGCCGGCGACCGAAGCCCCGGUGAACGGCGGCCGUAACUAUAACGGUCCUAAGGUAGCGAAAUUCCUUAUCGGGUAAGUUCCGACCCGCACAAAAUGCGUAACGAUCUGGGCACUGUCUCGGAGAGAGGCUCGGUGAAAUAGACAUGUCUGUGAAGAUGCGGACUACAGCAUCCCUUUCUUUUAUCAACGGCUCCACCAAUUGAUAAGU